rnacentral:rRNA from 1 species
GUCUACGACCAUGCCACCCUGAACAAGCCCGAUCUCAUCUGAUCGCGGAAGGUAAGCAGGGUCAGGCUUGGUCAGAACUUGGAUGGGAGACCACUUAGGAAGACCAGGUGCUGUAGGCC